UUGAUGGUCCAACGGGCGACAACAAUGUAAUUUAUAAUCGGUUUGAAUGUACGGUCCAACAAGGUUUAAUGUUCGAGAUCAAGUUUCCCAGAAGAAUGAAAGCACUUCGACGAUGAGAUCCUUGCUUAGAUUCCAUUUGAACAACUAGUCGUCACGGAUUCCGCACUUCGUCUUUCUUCUCCCACCACUCCGUGCUCUUUUCUUCAAAUUGGAAAAUUAUUGAGUCACUUAAGUUUCUCCAAAAAACGGAAGCACUUUGACGAUGAGAUGUUUUUUUUUAUUCAAUUGGAACAAUUGAUAGUUACGAAUUCUGAUCUUCGUCAUCCUUCUUUCUCCAACCCGUGUGUUCUUUUCAUCAAUUAGGAAAAUUCUUCAGUUAUUUAAGAUGAUUUAAUGGAAACUCAAAAGUUCCUGAAAUGUUGUGGACCGUCGACUGUACCAGUCUUCUUUCAAUCCAGAACGUAGAAGUACUGGGAAGUGCUUUUUUCCACUGGAAAAUAGGAUUCAUCAUCACAUCAUCAUCAUAAGGUCGUCAGUCCUAAGACUGGUUGGACACGCAUCUCCACUACAAAAGUAGUUCACACAUUCUUUCUUCCUCCCUUUAAUGCUUCUAUCAUCACAACAACAAACUACGAUUGUUGACAAUGAAUUCGUUACGUACUAUUGGGUACAUCAGGGACCAGGAUAAUCAUGAGGUUUCUCCAGAAGAAUGAAAGCACUUAGACGAUAGGAUAUUUGAUUUGAUUCCACAAAAGCAACUAAUAGUUACGAAUUCUGCACUUCAAUAUCCUUGGUCUUCGACUCCGUGUGCUGUUUUUCCAGUUGGAAAUUCUUCAUUUACUUAAGGUAGGGAUACAUACAAUAAUUAUAUAAUAUAUUUCAGGGCUCAUUUGCUGAAACCAUACACUAAUAAUAACUAAAAGUAUAGAGGUAACAAUGACGGUUUCAAUUUUGAGCAAUUUCUAGUCAAAUUUUAUAAUCAGAUGUAACAUAAA